ACCUACGGGACGCAGCAGUGAGGAAUAUUGCACAAUGGGCGAAAGCCUGAUGCAGCAACGCCGCGUGAAGGAAGACGGUUUUCGGAUUGUAAACUUCUAUCAAUAGGGAAGAAAGAAAUGACGGUACCUAAAUAAGAAGCCCCGGCUAACUACGUGCCAGCAGCCGCGGUAAUACGUAGGGGGCAAGCGUUAUCCGGAAUUACUGGGUGUAAAGGGAGCGUAGACGGCUGGGCAAGCCUGAUGUGAAAGGCGGGGGCGCAACCCUCGGACUGCAUUGGGAACUGUCCGGCUGGAGCGCCGGAGGG
rnacentral:rRNA from 1 species